GUGGUUUUAAGUGGUUUUAAGGCACAGGGAGAGACCAAGGCAAGUUUUAGAGCAGGAGUGAGAGUUUAUUAAAAAGUUUUAGAGCAGGAACAAAAGGAAGUACACUACACUUGGGUCAGGCAGGCAACUUGAGAGAUCUAAGUGCCCUGCCUGACCCUUAACUUGGGGUUUUAUGUAUUUGGCAUAGUUCUGGGAUUUACGUCUCAUCUCCCCUGAUUCUUCCCUUGCAGCAGGCUGUCCGCGUAUGUGGUGACCUGCCAGCACUUGGAAGGGGUCGCAUGCACAGUGUGAUUACUGAAGUUGCGCGCAUGCUCACUUGAGGCAUUUUUCCCCUUACCAGUCGUGCGUUCCCAGAGGAAGGUAGGUCAUAUACUGGUUAAAUUCCGCCAUUUUGCCUCUUGGUGCGCAUGCUCCAGGCUGCUUGCCCAGCUCCUGAGAUCUUAUCGGGAAGCGGCUGAUCACCAGAUCAGGGUGUUUUGUAUCUAUUGAGAGACUGUCCUUGCUUGGAGCUGGCUGCAACCAAUUAUUAUUUUACAGAGACAGUUUAACAACCACCUGACCAUCACCUGAUGGUAGCCUGACAUUCCUGUGGGGGCCCUCACCUGUCCUGCUCAUGUUUGCCUAGCUCCCUACUCUAACAUUUCCACUCUGUGGACCCCAGGUUGAGAUCUUCUGCAGGGAAGACUGUCCUCAAAUAGCCUGCUGGGGAGACAUCUCCUUCCCGUUUACCUUUCCAUUUGCCCUUGCGGUGUUAGGCAAAGGCUGAAGCUGGCCUCUGUGGCAGAGGGUUUCUUCCCAACACGCCAAUGACGCUGGUGGAGAGUCUUAAAAACAGCUGUGCUGGGGAGAGUUCUUGGUGUGUACCUUUCAGAGACCUCCUCCUUAAGACUCUCAAAGACUGAGUCAGGCCAGUGGGAGCCUGGCAGCAAUUCUUAGGGGACAGUGACAGCUUUUUGAGGAGGACUAAUUGGCUUCUAGGGCUGGAGGCCACUUGGGUCUGACAGACUGCCCUGCUGCCAUCCCUCCAGGGCACCCCCCACUCCCUUGCCUCAGGGCCUUCCUGCACUUCUUCCUUUUGUCCUCAAUGUUCUUCACCCCACCUUUUCCACUGGUACCCUCUGCCUAUGGUCAAGGCUUUGGUGAGACCCACUUUCCUCUUAGACCUUCCUGGAUCCCCCAAAGUCUGUGUUGGAAGCCCCUCCCAUGUGCCCUUGUUUGAGCUUUUAAUUUUCCACCAUGACGCUUGUCACACUGCUUUGUAAUUGGCUCUCUGUUAGUCUGCAUCUCUACUGGGUUGUACCUUCCAGGAGGACAGCUGCCAUGUGACUCUUGUAAUCUUCCCACCGCCAACACCCAGCACAGCGUCAGGAACACAGAGCAUGAUGAGCACAAGCUUGUUGAGCAAACAGACAAAUAACUGGAUGCUUCUGUGCAGAGUUUCUCAACCUGGCCAUUAUUGGCAUUUGGGACUUGAUCAUGCUUGGUCGUGGGAGACGGUUCUGUGCCUGUAGGAUGUUUAGGAGCAUGCUUGGUUUCUACCCACCAGAUGCCGGGAGCACACCCACCCAGCUGUGACAACCAAAAAUGUCUCCAGACACCAUUCCAAAACCAGCGGGAGACAAAAUCGCCCGACAGUCGUUGCUUUAGUGAGUGAAUGUUGACCUAAGCGUCACUUCGCCUGUCUUGAGUCUAGGUCGGGGAGUGGGUUCAGUUAGCCAAUCAGAGAACGCUGAUGGGGCGACCAGUAUAUGCUCAUGAAAUGGGUGGCUGACCUCUUGGGGUCAGAAGAGGGAAAAGUUUUACUGUGUGUUGGCUAAGGACCUCCCUGGACACAGGGGAUCUGGCUGUCCCCAGAUCAUCAACAGAGACAUGAAGGUCGUUAGAGGUCGUCUGAUCCUUUGACCUCAAUCUGAGCCCACCACUCAGAAAACCUGGAAAUUGUAUGACAUUUUCGUGAUACAACUCGGUGUGUGUGUGUUGGGGAAAGGAACCAACAGCUUUCAUCAUAUUGUCAAAAGAGUCUAGGCUGGGCAUGGUGGCUCACGCCUGCAAUCCCAACCCAAAGGCCUGUGGAGCACACAUGAGGACAAGGCGGGCAGAUCACCAAAGGUCAGGCAUUCGAGAUCAGCCUGGCCAACGUGGUGAAACCCCAUCUCUACUAAAAAUACAAAAAUUAGCCAGGCGUGGUGACAUGUGCCUGUAAUCCCAGCUACUCGGGAGGCUGAGACAGGAGAACUGCUUGAACCCAGGAGGCGGAGGUUGCAGUGAGCAGAGGUUGCGCCGCUGCAGUCCAGCCCGGGCAACAAGAGCGAAUCUCCGUCUCAAAACAACAAAACAAAAACAUAGACCUGCUCGGUUCUCUCUGUGACUUCAGAGGCCCAAGGAGUCCUCAGCACUAUAGAUGCAUGUGGCCCCUCAGAAGACAACAUUUCACAGAUCUGCAAAGAGCAAAGGUCAAAUUUAUUUAAUACAACAUCCACGAGGGUCCCUGCAGCUGUGUCACUGAGGCAAACAGGAAAAGUGAUUUUGGCUAGGCGUGGUUCUCAUCUGUGAAAUUCCACAGCGCAAUGACAGCAGCCUCUCUCCCACCCACUCAAGACACUGUCAGGAAUGUCUUAAGACCUCAGGAGACCACUUCUUUAGCAAGCAAUUUUGUUUUUUGUUUUUUUUGAGAUGGAUUCUCACUCUGUCACUCAGGCUGGAGUGCAGUGGCGCGAUCUCCGCUCACUACAACCUCCGUUUCCUGGGUUCAAGCGAUAAUCUCACCUCAGCCUCUUGAGUAGCUGAUACUACAGGCAUGCGCCACCACGCCCGGCUAAUUCUUGUAUUUUUAGUAGAGACAGGGUUUCAUCAGGCUGGUCUCAAACUCCUGACCUCAGGUGAUCCGCCCACCUCAGCCUCCUGAAGUGCUGGGAUUACAGGCGUGAGCCACCUUGCCUGCCCUGGCAAGGAAUACAUUUUUAAAAAUUAGUAAGAAACAUACACAUUUCAAGUUUUCAAUUAAGAAUAAUAUUUGCUGAUGGCACCAUCUUCCUGUCUUUCAGCCUUCAGCAUGGUAGAGGAAAAGAGAAAGAGUGUAGACAAAAACAGUUGAAGAACAUCUGUGCUUGUUCCACCUUCAUUUUCUGUUUUGUGCGUUGCCUGAAUGAACGGUGUCUUCAGGUUGGUAUUUCACAGGCGGUGCUCCCAAGUAGUCUGGUUUUCCCAUUUGUGGAGGGCGAGGUCAUAGAGGGGACAGGGGGAGGCUGUCUGGUCAGCACUGUGUAUUUCCAAAGAACAAGGACUAGCCAAAACUACAAGCCUUUGAAGGACCAAAGGAAAAGAGAAAAAACCAGCCUCUAACCAGGCCAUGCGCUAGAAAUGAUUGAGUAUAAAAAAGAAAAUUGGUUUCUGUGUAUGAGGGUGCAUGGAAAAGGUCUUUAUCUCUGCACAAAACAAAAUAUUCAAGUUUCAGAAUAUCCCAAUGGCCUUGCCCUGGAUCUCCUCUUGUGCUCUUCCAAUUUCCAAGGAUGUUCCAACUUGGUGGAAGGAGGGUAUGUGGGAAAUUCAACAGCCCCUCUGUAUCUCUUUCUACCCAACAUUAACUUAGCAGGAUGGAUUUAAGAACCGGCAGCUUAGCCUGAGGAAUUGCUGUGUUCUGUGGGAGCAGGGCAGGUUCAUAAAUAAGUGCACAGAGGUCUUGAAAUACAGGGAUUAUCUGUUCUUCUCGGAACAUGGAUGUCCUUCCAGGGAUGUGCAUCUGGCCUUGCUGUCUAAGUUCCAUCAAGGGAGCCUUCCGUUCUCUGUAGCGACAAGAAACAAGGCAAGUUAUGAUCACACCUCUCAAGAUUGAAGAUUGCCCUGGUGGAGAGAAAUGCAAAAUGACAGCACUUCUCAAAGAAAAUGCAAAGCAGGGCUGUCACACACUGGUCCCCCACCCUGCAGGGUUCUCUCUGUGACUUCAGAGGCCCAAGGAGUCCUCAGCACUACAGAUACACGUGGCCCCUCAGAAGACAACAUUUCACAGAUCUGCAAAGAAUAAAGGUCAAAUUUACUUAAUACAACACCCACCAGGGUUCCUGCAGCUGUGUCACUGAGGCAAACAGGGAAAGUAAUUUUGGUUAGGUGUGGUUCUCACCUCUGAAAUUCCACAGCACAAUGACUGCAGCCUCUCUCCCACCCACUCAAGACAUUGUCAGGAACGUCUUAAGACCUCAGGAGACCACUUCUUUAGCAAGCAAUUUUUUUUAGAUGGAUUCUCACUCUGUCACUCAGGCUGGAGUGCAGUGGCGCGGUCUCUGCUCACUACACCCUCCCUCUCCUGGCUCCUGCCCGUAUGUAUUUCUCCUUCUCUCCAUGCCUGCUCUGUAGGGACCAUAGCCUCUGUCCCUGCAUACAUGUUGGACAUCAAUCACAUCAGUCCACCAAGUAACUUCAUCAAGCACCCAUGUACGCCCAGCACAGCGUCCCAAGGGUGCCCCACUUACCCACAGAAGAAGAAAGGCAACUUUGUAAGAGAUCUGACUUCUAGCUCCAGUUCUGUCUCUAGCUAACGUGAGAUGUACCCGUUUGAGGCCUGUUUUUUAAUUUUGAAAAUGAAGGACUGAACUUAGAUGGUCCAACUGAAAUGUUUUAAAAUGAUAUGAUUCUACCUUAAAAAGAGAAUGAAAUUCUGAUAUAUUUUCAACACAGGAAAACCUUGAAAACGUUAUGCUAAAUGAAAUAAGGCAGACAUGAAAGGACAAAUAUAUGAUUCCACUUAUGUGAUGUACCUCAAAUAGUCAAAUUCAUAGAGACAGAAAGUAGACAGUGGUUGCUAGGGGUUGCUGGAGGGGCAAUGGGGAGUUAGUGUUUAAUGGGUACAGUGUUUCAGUGGCUGCUCUGCCUAUGGAGUAGCCAUUCUUUUGUUUCUUUACUUCUCUAAUAAACUUGCUUUCACUUAAAAAGAAAAAGCUCUGGAGAUGGAUAGUGGUGGUGGUUGCACAGCAAUGUGAACGGACCUAAUGCAACUGAAUUAUACACUUUAAAAUGGUUAAGUAUACACUGGAAAAUGGUGAAUUUGCCGGGCGGGCGCAGUGGCUCACGCCUGUAAUCCCAACACUUUGGGAGGCCGAGGCGGGUG
rnacentral:lncRNA from 1 species